UACGUAGGGUGCAAGCGUUAAUCGGAAUUACUGGGCGUAAAGCGUGCGCAGGCGGUUCUGUAAGUCUGUCGUGAAAUCCCCGGGCUUAACCUGGGAAUUGCGAUGGAGACUGCAAGGCUAGAAUCUGGCAGAGGGGGAUAGAAUUCCACGUGUAGCAGUGAAAUGCGUAGAGAUGUGGAGGAACACCGAUGGCGAAGGCAGCCCCCCUGGGUCAAGAUUGACGCUCAUGCACGAAAGCGUGGGGAGCAAACAGG
rnacentral:rRNA from 1 species